rnacentral:rRNA from 1 species
CGGGUGCACUGAUCCGGCCGGGCCUUUCCCUCUGCGGAACCCCAUGGCCUUCACUGGCUGUGCGGGGGAAGCAGGACUUUUACUGUGAAAAAAUUAGAGUGCUCCAGGCAGGCCUAUGCUCGAAUACAUUAGCAUGGAAUAAUAGAAUAGGACGCGUGGUUCUAUUUUGUUGGUUUCUAGGACCGCCGUAAUGAUUAAUAGGGACAGUCGGGGGCAUCAGUAUUCAAUUGUCAGAGGUGAAAUUCUUGGAUCUAUUGAAGACUAACUACUGCGAAAGCAUUUGCCAAGGAUGUUUUCAUUGAUAAGGAACGAAAGUUAGGGGAUCGAAGACGAUCAGAUACCGUCGUAGUCUUAACUAUAAACUAUGCCGACUAGGGAUCGGACGAUGUUAUUCUUUGACGCGUUCGGCACCUUUCGAGAAAUCAAAGUGCUUGGGCUCCAGGGGGAGUAUGGUCGCAAGGCUGAAACUUAAAAGAAAUUGACGGAAGGGCACCACCAGGGGUGGAACCUGCGGCUUAAUUUGACUCAACACGGGGAAACUCACCAGGUCCAGACACAGUGAGGAUUGACAGAUUGAGAGCUCUUUCUUGAUUCUGUGGGUGGUGGUGCAUGGCCGUUCUUAGUUGGUGGAGUGAUUUGUCUGCUUAAUUGCGAUAACGAACGAGACCUUAACCUGCUAAAUAGCCCGUACUGCUCUGGCAGUUCGCCGGCUUCUUAGAGGGACUAUCGG